AUUGAACGCUGGCGGCAGGCCUAACACAUGCAAGUCGAGCGGAUGAAGGGAGCUUGCUCCUGGAUUCAGCGGCGGACGGGUGAGUAAUGCCUAGGAAUCUGCCUGGUAGUGGGGGAUAACGUCCGGAAACGGGCGCUAAUACCGCAUACGUCCUGAGGUAGAAAGUGGGGGAUCUUCGGACCUCACGCUAUCAGAUGAGCCUAGUUCGGAUUAGCUAGUUGGUGGGGUAAAGGCCUACCAAGGCGACGAUCCGUAACUGGUCUGAGAGGGUGAUCGGUCACACGGGAAGUGAGACAAGGGCCAGAAUCCUACGGGAGGCACCAGGAGGGAAUCUUACGCAAUGGGCGAAAGUCGGACGGAGCAAUGACGCGUGAGUGAGGAAGGUCUUCGGAUCGUAAAACUCUGUUAUUAGGGAAGAACAAAGGUGUAAGUAACUAUGCACGUCUUGACGGUACCUAAUCAGAAAGCCACGGCUAACUACGUG
rnacentral:rRNA from 1 species